rnacentral:tRNA from 1 species
GCUCCUGUAGUUUAAUGGAUAAAAUUUAGGAUUCCGGUUCCUAAGAUAUGAGUUCGAUUCUCAUCGGGAGUA